rnacentral:rRNA from 1 species
UACGAGGGGGGCAAGCGUUAUUCGGAAUUAUUGGGCGUAAAGUGCGUGUAGGUGGCUAUGCAAGUCAGGUGUGAAAGACCACAGCUUAACUGUGGAACUGCAGCUGAAACGGCAAUGCUAGAGUGCGGAAGAGAAAAGUGGAAUUCUCGGAGUAGAGGUUAAAUUCGUGGAUCUCGAGAGGAACACCAAUGGCGAAGGCAGCUUUUUGGUCCGCAACUGACACUGAAGCGCGAAGGCGUGGGGAGCAAACAGG